rnacentral:rRNA from 1 species
UACGAAGGGGGCUAGCGUUGCUCGGAAUGACUGGGCGUAAAGGGCGCGUAGGCGGUUUGGACAGUCAGAUGUGAAAUUCCUGGGCUCAACCUGGGGGCUGCAUUUGAUACGUUCGGACUAGAGUGGGGAAGAGGGUCGUGGAAUUCCCAGUGUAGAGGUGAAAUGCGUAGAUAUCGGGAGGAACACCAGUGGCGAAGGCGGCCUUCUGGCUUGUAACUGACGCUGUAGCGCGAAAGCGUGGGGAGCGAACCGG